GUCUUCGUGGUGCAGCGGUCAGCACGCUCGCCACGUAUUCGGGUGAUCCGUGGUUCGAGUCCCGGUAAAGGCU
rnacentral:tRNA from 1 species